CACCUCUCAGGCACACCCCUGGAGAGUUUCCAGUACUCUUCCAGUCUCGACUCUGGGAUAGAGAGUCAAGCAGAGGUAUAUCCAUUCCAUUCCUAGCUUGGCCAGUGGCUGGCGAGUGGAAGGCCAUCUGCUACAAGU
rnacentral:snoRNA from 1 species